rnacentral:lncRNA from 1 species
GACACAGACACAAAGCAAUAUUAAACAUUUUUUUUCCAUUUACCAAUUUAUGAAAACACACAUAAUGUUUAAAUAUAUUACCUUAUAUAACUUAAUAAGUAAAGAGUACUUGAUUUUAUAUUUAGUGGUUGAUGUUUCAACACUUUAGCUUUGUAAAUUAAUCAGAUGUCUGUAAAAACCAAGAUCUUAGACAAGUAUAGUAAACAGAACUAGCCAUCUCUUUCUUGUUGAAGAAAAAUCCUUCUACAGGAUACCAUGAUGGUCCCAUUGUGAUAUAUUCAACAACUCCUCUUUAAAAAGCCAUGGGCUACAUUUUUGUAUUGUAUCAACAUAUGCCCUAACUGUUCUUGGUCUUACUGGGGUGCCUCCUUCCUCUAACAAUUUCUCUUCCUCAGGGGCGAACAACUUCAAACUUUGAGUCAACCAUUUUUCCCAGUUUGCCUGAGAAAGUUCUAGGGACAGGCAACUUGAAAUAAAAACAAGAAUACAUUGUUUUUUGAAAUGGUCACCCAUUCUUUCGCUCUCCUUCAGGGGCGAGCAAUUUUACUUACCUCUAAGCUUCAGGCGUUCCCCGUAUGGGCCACCAAAUGCUGCAGUCUGGCUGGGCACAAAAUAACCAAGCUGCCACAAAGCCUUGUACGUUCAAACAGCAACUCUUUAUUCCUGAACUCUCACCGGCACUCUACACACACUUCCCAGGAACACACUCCCUCCAUCGGGCUCCGCGCCAAUUCUCUUGGAACCCCAAGAGAACUCCAGGGGAACUCCAAAGUAGCUGGAGCUGAGGCAGCAGGAUCCGCCCUAAUCCCCAGAGCUGCCCUAUUCCCGGAGCAGGGUCACCUUUCAACCAUUCCCUCUAGCAAAAUGCCAGGCGUCAUUCUGACUAAACUGUGGCUCUCAACAUGCACAUAGAAUCACCCAGAAACUUAAAAACAAAAUGCCUGUGCUCCACCCCAAGAGAUUCUGAUAUAAGUGGUCUGGAUGGUUCUUGGCAUAAGUAUUUUUAAAACGCUGUCCUUGAAAUUCUAAUCUGCAGCUAGAGCUAAGAGUAGCUAAAUGAUACAAUAGAUUAAUGACAAUUGAAGCUAAGUAUUAGUACAAAUUUGGGGAAAGAGGGUCAGUAGACUAGUGCUUCUAUUUCUCAUCCCCAUCUUUCAAAAGCUGCAAUUCAUCUCCUAGGAAGUGAGUGAGGUUCAAACCUAAAUAGAGAAUAACUGGCUGGGCACAGUGUGGCACAUACCUGUAAUCCCAGAAGCUCAGGAGGCUGACAUAGGAGGAUCCCAAGUUCAAGGACAGCCUCAGCAAUUUAGCAAGGACCUAAGCAAUUUUGUGAGACACUGUCUCAAAUUAAAAAAUAAAAUUUGGGCCGGAGUUGUGGCUCAGUGGCCGGAGUUGUGGCUCAGUGGCACUGAGUUCAAUCCCCGGCACCACAUAAAAAUAAACAAAUAAAAUAAAGGUAUUGAAGGUAUUGUGUCCAUCUACAACUAAAAAAAAAAAAAAAUUAAAAAAUAAUAAUAAAAAAUAAAAGGUCUGGAGAUGUAGCUCAAUGUAAAUUGCCCCUGGGUUAAAUCUCUAGUACCCACCCGCCCUCAAAGAGAGAGAGAGAGAAUAUAACUGGACAAUCAAAACCAGUUGGUAGAGUGAAGCAAUAAAAGAAAUGCCUAAUAAUGAAAGAAAAACAAUCCUAUAACUUCUGUUUGAUUAUAAGUUAUUUGAUGCCCCCUACAGUGAGUUUUGAGCUGGGGAUAUAGCUCAGUUGAUAGAUUGCUUGCCUCACACGCACAACCUCCAGCACCACAAAAAAAAAAAAAAAAAAAAAAAAAAAAAAUGAGUCUUAUAUAUUGAAGGACUACUCUAAAGUUAAUUUGAGGUUUUUUGUUUUGUGUGGUGCUGGGGAUCGAAUCCAGGGCUUUGUGCAUGCAAGACAGGCACUCUACCAACUGAGCUAUAUCCCUAUCCCUAAUUUGAGUUUUCGAAGAAAUAAUAUAAUUUAAAAAAAUUUUUCAUAUUCAAAGGCAUUGUAUUUUUAAAUUUAGUGUCUGGCUCUUGCCAUAUUUCUAAAUCUUGCAAGUUUUAGAAGCCAUAGUCUUUUAAAUAAUAAUGUGGUCUCAUUGAUAGCAUUACUUAAUAAAACACUUCCCAACUUUUUAUACUGAAUUCAUAAAUUUACUUUAUACAGUUGCCUUCUUUGGUACUUAGGAAAAUUUUUCAAGAAAUUAAGAAAAUUUUACAUAUCUAAGAAAUUUAACUUGUACACAUGAUGAUGAUUCCUGGGUUCUCUUUAAUGUUCCAAUAUCAUGCAUAAACUUAAUUAGAAGGUCUACUUAAAAGUCUCAUAGGCUGACCUCUGACUCCACUCAAUCAAGUGUUCUUAAACAGUACAGUUACUUACGUUUGCUUUAAAAAGUAUUUACUGUGCUUUCUACUGUACAUUUCAAAUCCUGCUGAAAUUAAAGUAUACUUACAUGUUAGGAAAACAGUUUUGUCCUCUCAAACAAUUUGGGUGCUCCCUCCCCAAAGUGAAUUUUUUGGUGUGCCUUCUCAUCUUAAUAAGCAACCAGGUCCUUGUCUCAGAUACUGCUGAGAUGUGCUGAGACUUAUUUUUAUUCAUUGUAUUUUUUGUUUAAAAGGUAUUCUCAAGGUCUAUUUGACUUAAAUAUUAAGUCGUACCUUUACCUAUUUUCAAGUCAGGUUAGAAUCAACAUUCAGCCACACAGGUGAGUAGAGUAAAUAACAAAUAUCUGGAUUUUUCACUUUUUAAUCUUUUAGAAUAUGUAACUUUUUUUUUAAAGUUUAAAUGUGAAGAACUUUGAACUUGGCAAAACACUGUAUUCCUUCCCAUUUGGUCUUGUGGGAAGAUCAGCUCUUAAAGAUGCUAGAUGGCCUCUGAUCUCCCUCUUGGCCUUGUGUGACUAUGUGGUCACAAUUUCGAAGCUUCCUCUGUUGGAGAAAGUUUUUUAGCUUCUAGAAACUAAAAAACAGAAGUCCCUCCAUACACACUCCCAUUGGAGACAUUAUGAGGACACUUCAGGUUCACAGCUUUGGAACAACUUCCUUGUUCUCCUCUUUACUCCUUGUAUAACUUUGGGCCGGUUACUUAAUUGUCAAGACCCUCAGUUUCCAAAAAAAGGUGAUAUUACUUACCUCACAUGACUAUUUUGAGAAUAUAGUAAGUUAAUAUAUUUCAACAUAUGCUUUAAAUUAAUUUUUUCAUAGAUACUCCUGACUUCAGAAAUCACAAUACACCUUAUACAGUGUGAAAUAGGUUAGCUUUCUGACACUAUAACAAAUACCUGAGAUAAUUAACUUACAAAGAGAAAAGGUUUGUUUGGGCUAACAGUUUUGGAGAUUCUAGUUGAUGAUUAGGUGGACCCAUUGCUUUUAGGCUUCUGGUGGAGGUGCUGGAUGGCAUUGGCAGGGAGCACAUAGCAGAGCAAAGCUGCUUACCUAUGGCCAGGAAGCAAAACAGAAUGAAGAAAGGGCUAGAGUUCCACAAUCCCUCUCUAGGGCAUGGCCCUAGUGUCCUUAGACCACCUACUAAGUCCCACCUCUUGAAGACUCUACCACCUCCCAAUAGUGCCAGGCUGGGGAGCAAAGCUUUAACGCAUGAACCUCAGUGGCCACUUAAGAUUCAAACUAUAGCACAUGGCAAUUAAAAGAUCACCCCAGGCCUGGGGAUGGAGGUUGGGGUAGAGUACUUGCCUAGCUAGCAUUAAUGACACAUGGGUUUAAUCCUAGUACCAUCCAAAAAAAAAAAAAAAAAAUCAGCCAUUCAGGUAUAUGCAUUUUGUAGUAUUAAAGAGGUUUCCUAGACUGGUUCAUUCUUUUCUCCAUUUAUUGACUCUAUUAAAAGUCAAUAACUCAGAUAACCUUUCUUUAUUAUCUCCUUUUCACUCGUUAAAAAAAAAAAAUCUUUAUUGAACUUAUACCACAUAAAAACAAAACAUGCUGAGCCUUAAAGGAUUCAUUAAAGUGAACAGAGAAGAGGAGGUUUUGGGAAGGAGGAUAACUUUCAUAGAGGAGGCAAAUUUUGACUGGAGCCUUGGAGGAUGGGUGGACUUUCCACAUAUAGGACUUCAGAAAAGAUAUCCCAAGUAGAGAAAGCAGCGUGAGAAAAGGCGAGGAGGGGAAAACAGGAGACAUUUGGAGACAGCUGGCACUCCAGUGUGAGCAGAGUAAGCAGGGAUGUGAACCAGAAUGGGGAGGGUUUGGAAUCUCAAGUCAGGGAAUCUGGAAGUCACUCAGCAUUCCUAGAACAAGAGCUCAAACGCUUGGGCUACCUGGCCAGAAAAUUCUGGAAGGACAACUAGGAAGGAACUGCCUCUUUCUGAUAUUUAUCUGUCAACCCAUUGGCCUCUUAGAGGAAAACUCCUGCGUUCUGAAUCUCUGGCCAGGUAGGUUUUGAUGGGGAGAAUAAAGAAGUAGAAAAGUUAAGUUUAGGACAACUUUCUGUAAGUGUGGACAUUGGACAGCAGGGGGCAGCACGAGGGCACCAAAAACUUCAAACAGUGUAAAUUUGCUUCUGUAACAUUUCUUGACAACUAUUUGUUUACAUUUAUAAAGCAGCUUAUAUUAAUAACAGUAUUUUUUCCCAAAAAAAUGAAUAUAAAUUAAUAGAGAAAAUAAAAAUAACAGCUACACUGUUAUUAGAUUAACUAGUGGCAGAAGGCUUUGCUAUUUAUUUGAAAGGAUAGAAAUAGUUGUGUAUUUAUUAUUUUCUUUCAAACGAACAGGAAUUCAGAGUUCAAUACAAAAGCCUACAUUUCUAUGGAAAACAUAGCUUUAUAUGAUUCUGAAAUUUGGCAUUUCUUAAAAGUACACUUGAUCAGCUAUAUUAUGUUAAAGGGACUAGUGAAAAAAUGGGGAACUCUUUAAAAUAAAAUUGUAGUUAAAUACUGAAUUAGAAUUUCAAUUUACACUUUAUUUGACAUGGAAAAUUCAUGGAAUUUAAAAUUUAGGGAUUGUGAUUAUGAAAUCCUUUGGACUUUCAAAUGAAAAAAAAUAUUAGUUUCUAAAUUCAAAGCUAGCUACACUACAUUUAAUCAGAUUUUUUUUUUCUGGUAAAAUUCACCUCCCCCUAAACUUUGUUUAGGUGUUUGAAUGCUUAGUGAUAUUAAAAGUGGAAAACCAGAAGUUUUCACAUAGAUUUUUAUUUAAGCUCUAGAACUGCCCAUUGUAAACGCUACAUUAAACCCACUUGAAAUCUCACUCUUCCUGUCUCCCUCUCUUUCCCUCUCAUUUUCACUCUUUCCCUCUCGCUCGCUCUCUCUCAGAAAAUGUCAUCAUACAGCUUCA